UACGUAGGUGGCAAGCGUUGUCCGGAUUUAUUGGGUUUAAAGGGUGCGUAGGCGGUCUUUUAAGUCAGCGCUGAAAUAUCCCGGCUUAACCGGGAGGGUGGCAUUGAUACUGAAGGACUUGAGUAAAGUUGAGGUAGGCGGAAUUGACGGUGUAGCGGUGAAAUGCUUAGAUAUCGUCAAGAACACCGAUAGUGUAGACAGCUUACUAAGCUUUAACUGACGCUGAGGCACGAAAGUGUGGGGAUCAAACAGG
rnacentral:rRNA from 1 species